rnacentral:rRNA from 1 species
GACGAACGCUGGCGGCGUGCCUAACACAUGCAAGUGGAGCGACGACCCGGGCUUCGGCCCGGUGCAAAGCCGCGAACGGGUGAGUAACACGUGGGUAACCUGCCCCGAUGACCGGGACAACCCGAGGAAACUCGGGCUAAUACCGGAUGUGCCCUCCAGCUACAAGGCUGCUGGGGAAAGGAAGCUUCGGCCUCCGCAUCGGGAUGGGCCCGCGGCGCAUUAGCUUGUUGGUGAGGUAACGGCUCACCAAGGCGACGAUGCGUAGCUGGUCUGAGAG